rnacentral:rRNA from 1 species
UACGUAGGGACCAAGCGUUGUUCGGAUUUACUGGGCGUAAAGGGCGCGUAGGCGGCGCGGUAAGUCACUUGUGAAAUCUCUGAGCUUAACUCAGAACGGCCAAGUGAUACUGCAGUGCUAGAGUGUGGAAGGGGCAAUCGGAAUUCUUGGUGUAGCGGUGAAAUGCGUAGAUAUCAGGAGGAACACCGAUGGCGAAGGCAGCUCGCUGGGACGGUACUGACGCUGAGGCGCGAAAGCGUGGGGAGCGAACAGG